CGAUGAUACGCGAGGAACCUUACCUGGGCUCGAACGUAAGAUGACUGUAGGUGAAAGCUUACAUCUCUUCGGAGCAUUUUACGAGGUGCUGCAUGGUUGUCGUCAGCUCGUGCCGUGAGGUGUCGGGUUAAGUCCCAUAACGAGCGCAACCCUACCUUUAGUUGCCAUCAGGUAAUGCUGGGGACUCUAAAGGAACUGCCUACGCAAGUAGUGAGGAAGGCGGGGAUGACGUCAAAUCAGCACGGCCCUUACGUCCAGGGCUACACACGUGCUACAAUGGCCGAUACAGAGGGCAGCUACCUGGUGACAGGAUGCAAAUCUCCAAAGUCGGUCUCAGUUCGGAUCGGAGUCUGCAACCCGACUCCGUGAAGUUGGAUUCGCUAGUAAUCGCGCAUCAGCCAUGGCGCGGUGAAUACGUUCCCGGGCCUU
rnacentral:rRNA from 1 species